GGCCGGCCAGGUCAGUCAAAUGAACCUGCUCAUCGGGAGAUGUCUCUGGGACUCCACCGUCGAAUCGAUAUCCAGGGAGUUUCAGACUUGACCAAAAAAGCAAAUCUGUGCCAGGGCUGAGUUCAGGAAGAUACAACCCUAGCGUUGGGACUGUAGCCGCAGACCAGCGAUGCGCAAGAUGACUGGCAGCGGGGGAAUUUGAGGGUCGUAGGUCUUGGAAAAAGCAACCACUGUGCAGUGCGCCGGAAUCUGAUGUUUGGACAAGGACGAGAUUGAGGCGAAAGGGACAAGCAGAGGACGAGGGCAAUGCGACGAGUUGAUAGGAGGAGAGACGGGCAAACCUACGCCGCCAGCUAGGCUUGGAUAUCAGGAUGCUAUCCUCUGUAUGGCGAUGGGCUUCCCCUUUGGCCCCCACAGACGCUCAAUAGUUAUUUACCUCCUCCCAAUUGCCACACGGUUUUCCCACACACUUCCCGGGACAGAUCAACGGCGCUCUUUGAUACAGCUAAAGAGUAAAGGGCAUGCCGCACAUCUAGCAAAACCUUGGUCGGCUAGUUUGCAGCUGCACUCUUCCCCACCAUCGCUGCCAGGGUUAGACGGCG
rnacentral:sRNA from 2 species